GCGAGAGUGGCGAAAUUUGGUAUACGCACUAGACUUAGGAUCUAGCCCGCUUUGCGGAUUGGGGGUUCGAGUCCCCCCUCUCGCA
rnacentral:tRNA from 1 species